AGUGAACGCUGGCGGUAGGCCUAACACAUGCAAGUCGAACGGCAGCACAGGAGAGCUUGCUCUCUGGGUGGCGAGUGGCGGACGGGUGAGGAAUACAUCGGAAUCUACUCUGUCGUGGGGGAUAACGUAGGGAAACUUACGCUAAUACCGCAUACGACCUACGGGUGAAAGAAGGGGACCUUCGGGCCUUGCGCGAUUGAAUGAGCCGAUGUCGGAGUAGCUAGUUGGCGGGGUAAAGGCCCACCAAGGCGACGAUCCGUAGGUGGUCUGAGAGGAUGAUCAGCCACACUGGAACUGAGACACGGUCCCGACUCCUACGGGAGGCAGCAGUGGGGAAUAUUGGACAAUGGGCGCAAGCCUGAUCCAGCCAUACCGCGUGGGUGAAGAAGGCCUUCGGGUUGUAAAGCCCUUUUGUUGGGAAAGAAAUCCAGCUGGCUAAUACCCGGUUGGGAUGACGGUACCCAAAGAAUAAGCACCGGCUAACUUCGUGCCAGCCGCCGCCGUAA
rnacentral:rRNA from 1 species